rnacentral:rRNA from 2 species
AAAAAGGUGUUUUGGCGGCGUGUCUAAUACAUGCAUUCGAGCGAACAGAUGAGAAGCUUGCUUCUCUGAUGGAGCGGCGGACGGGUGAGUAACACGUGGGUAACCUACCUAUAAGACUGGGAUAACUCCGGGAAACCGGGGCUAAUACCGGAUAAUAUUUUGAACCGCAUGGUUCAAUAUUGAAAGACGGUUUCGGCUGUCACUUAUAGAUGGACCCGCGCCGUAUUAGCUAGUUGGUAAGGUAACGGCUUACCAAGGCGACGAUACGUACCCGACCUGAGAGGGUGAUCGGCCACACUGGAACUGAGACACGGUCCAGACUCCUACGGGAGGCAGCAGUAGGGAAUCUUCCGCAAUGGGCGAAAGCCUGACGGAGCAACGCCGCGUGAGUGAUGAAGGUCUUCGGAUCGUAAAACUCUGUUGUUAGGGAAGAACAAAUUUGUUAGUAACUGAACAAGUCUUGACGGUACCUAACCAGAAAGCCACGGCUAACUACGUGCCAGCAGCCGCGGUAAUACGUAGGUGGCAAGCGUUAUCCGGAAUUAUUGGGCGUAAAGCGCGCGUAGGCGGUUUCUUAAGUCUGAUGUGAAAACCCCACGGCUCAACCCGUGGAGGGUCAUUGGAAAUUUGGGAUAACUUGAGUGCAUAAG